rnacentral:rRNA from 1 species
UACGUAGGUGGCAAGCGUUGUCCGGAAUUAUUGGGCGUAAAGAGCUCGUAGGCGGUCUGUCGCGUCUGCUGUGAAAAUCCAGGGCUCAACCCUGGACCUGCAGUGGGUACGGGCAGACUAGAGUGCGGUAGGGGAGAUCGGAAUUCCUGGUGUAGCGGUGAAAUGCGCAGAUAUCAGGAGGAACACCGGUGGCGAAGGCGGAUCUCUGGGCCGUAACUGACGCUGAGGAGCGAAAGCAUGGGGAGCGAACAGG